AUGGAAUAAUGCAUUAUUUCCACAGGUGACAAAGUAAGAUGAAAAAUACUUCUUAGCACCAACCCUGUGUGCACUCCUUUCAGAAAGCAGCAAAAAAAACAAAACAAACAAAAAAACCUCAUAUCUAUUGAAAAAAAAAGAAAAGCUCUGGGAAAUGGUGGGGCUGUUACAGCUGUGUGGCUGUGAGCCAAAGCUGCUGCAGGAACUGCCAGCACAUCCAAGGCACACAGCAGGCACAGAUGCAAACAUCUUGAAAAAGACCAACCAGAGCAGUGAGAUGCACUGCGGGGUGCAGAAGUGGGACCCUCCCUCCAGCCAGGGCAACCUCGGUGGAUGUUACAGAACAACACAGGGAACCACAGCUGCAUUCACCAGCACGUCUUCCUUCUUAACACAGACACACACACAGCACUGAGGGACCUUCGGUUGAUCGCGUGCUGCAGACAGCAGCAGCCUGACGUACUACAGAAGUGCACACACUCUUCUUGGCUUUGCAGCUGCCACUCACCCCAUGGCUGAGAUUCAAUGAGUUUCAGCUGUAUGCAAGCAGCAGCCUCGUGAUUCUCUCCAAUUUCCCGGCACAUGCUGAAGCAAAGGGCAAUCAUGUUGUGCUUCUCACUGUCCCCUGGGCGGCAGCGCUUGAUGUAAUCCAGCAGAGCUGUCUUCAGUGUCCCACUCGGGUCCAACUUCUUCCUCAUGAGCACUUCAAAGUAAUGCUUCUCGUGCAGCAGCUCAAAGAUGUAGGUCAUCUCAUUGUAUCUGCCGAUCCCAGUGAGAAGACGAACCAUAAGUCCAUACUCAUCAUUAGGUGCCAAAUGCUCAUCUGUGAGCAGCCGUGCUGCCUGCAGGACUCUGGUGAUUCCUUCCAUGUGGCAAGUCAGACUAAAGCAAUUAUGGGCCAGAAUCAGCAGUUCUGUAAUGCAUGACAGUUCUCCACGUGGCACAGAGGAAAUUUUCUCCAGCAGCUUCAUGCCCACCAGCGUGUGGUCCUGGCACAGCUUUGCGAGCUGCAGGAACGCCUGGCUCUCAGCUGCAGGGUUGGAAACCUGCUUCUGUCCUGCACAGAGACAGCCAGUUACACCCAAAGUGCUGCAGUGAUGGAAAAACCAAAACCAAUAUAACCUCAUCUGGCUGAGCUAGGGCUGGGAACUACAGUUCUAAGACACUUCUGAUCUUAGUGCUGAGAUUUGGGAAUCAGGUACUACUACCGUG
rnacentral:lncRNA from 1 species